GUGGAGGUAGCUCAGUAGUAGAGUGCUUGCCUUGCAUGCAUGAGGCCCUGGGUUCGAUUCCUCAGUACCACA
rnacentral:tRNA from 1 species